rnacentral:piRNA from 1 species
UAGGUAAACAGUGUCACCAGGCAGG